AUCCGGUUGUUCAGUCUGACGUCACUAGCCAUGUCUGGGCCUAAACUCCGCUGCAGGUCCAUAUAUCAAACGAUCACUGUGGCAUUACUGAGAGUUGAAAAACUGUCUAAAGUCUUUCAUCUUUAAUAAAAUGAUCAGCGUUCUGCUCUACCAGGUGUAACAAUUGAGUUUAACAUCCAGGCAUCCAUGAAAACGGAAUUUAUGACAUUUAACGGAGUUAGAAGUUAGCAGGGAGUUAGCUCGCUAGCUUCUAUCUAAAUACAAUAUAGCAUGUCCUGACUGCGGGGUUUUGGAAACAAAUUCAAACGUACAGCUCUGCUAUCACUUCCAGCAUAAAUGAAGACAGAAAACUAAACAGCAGUGACGUUUGUAGGGUUACUGAAGUUGGGCUAGCUGGUAUAUAAUGAUGUGCUACGUGACCGCUAGCGACACAGCUAUGUUAGCAUAAUAUAAACAAGCUAACUUUUUUUCCACUCGAUAAAAGUUAACGCGAGUGUUCUCGGUGGUCAGGAACAAAUGUAAUCGCAUGGCAGGAUGCUGUAAAAGGACCAAACUUCAGCCAGGAGAACAACUGAGAUAAUCCAUCCACAAUACAAGUGAUCUACAGAGUCACCAUGAGGACCAAAGCCAUCCUUCUUAUGUCAGUGUUUAUACUGAUACUCUUGAUUCCCGUAUCUUUUGCUACCGGCACUCAAAACUAUACUCUAGAGAACAAUACGACAUCUACUCAAACUUUAGGCUAUUCACACUCUCCCUCUGGAGCUACAAACAGCACAACAACAUCCUCCCCAACAUCCAAUUCAGUUACAACCGUUGUUCCAUCAGGUACAACAAAUACAGCUCUACCUAGCACAACUUCCUCAUCCCCCACAACCGGAAAGGCAGUGAAGAUUUGGCUUAUUGUCAUUCUGUUGGUCAUCAUGGUUUUGAUGGUGCUUGUGGCAUAUCUCCAUCACGUGUGCCAGCAGUCCGGCCAUAGCGGCUCUGUGCCCAGGUUCCUAUUAGAUGUGAGGGAGAGGCUGAGAACCUGGAUCAGGAACCUGGAGGACCACCAGGGUGUUCAGCUUUGGCCAGGGGACAAGAGACCAGCAGAGGAUGCCAUGGAGGAGGAUGCCAUGGAGGACACAGAAGGAGGACAGGCAGAUGAGGGAGAGGUGUGGAGGGGUGGAGAAGGAGCUAAUAAUGAACUAAGCAACGAGGAAAAAGGAGAACACAAGGAGGAAGACAGCGACACUUCGGAUGACUGCUCAAGUUUGGAGGGGGAUGAUCUGAGGGAGAGGGCACUAAACAGACAGAAUGAAGAGGAGGGGAACCAGAGCAAGGACAAGGAUGAGGAUGAAACGAGUACCUCAAGUGAUGAAGGUCAAAGUCAUUCAGAAGGAAUGAGUGGUGGAAAUAAAGAUGAAGAUUCUGAAGAGACUGCACUUGUAAUCUCCCCUCAGCAGGAUUUAUGUGAUGUGACUGUUUUAUAGUGAAACGAUGCAUGAGUGAAGGAGAAGAUUCUGACUGUUUUUAAUGUUACAGAGUUUAGAUAGUUACUUUAUCGACACCAAAUCAAUAAAUAAAUCAAUACAUUUGCCUUUUUCAUAGUUGUCUCUGUGCUCUACCACUGAAACUCCGAUGUAAAAAAAAACAAAACACUGUCAGUGUGUGAUGAUCUUCAAAUAAACCUUUAAAAAA
ensembl:lncRNA